rnacentral:rRNA from 1 species
UACGUAGGGUGCGAGCGUUGUCCGGAAUUAUUGGGCGUAAAGAGCUUGUAGGUGGUUUGUCGCGUCUGCGGUGAAAUCCCAACGCUUAACGUUGGGCUUGCCGUGGGUACGGGCAGACUAGAGUGUGGUAGGGGAGACUGGAAUUCCUGGUGUAGCGGUGAAAUGCGCAGAUAUCAGGAGGAACACCGAUGGCGAAGGCAGGUCUCUGGGCCAUAACUGACACUGAGAAGCUAAAGCCUGGGGAGCGAACA